rnacentral:rRNA from 1 species
GACGAACGCUGGCGGCGUGCUUAACACAUGCAAGUCGAACGGAAAGGCCCUGCUUUUGUGGGGUGCGCGAGUGGCGAACGGGUGACUAACACGUGAGCAACCUGCCCUUGACUUUGGGCUAACUUCAGCAAACUCGGGCUCAUACCGGAUAGGAUCUCCUGCUGCAUGGUGGGGGUUGGAAAGUUUCGGCGGAUGGGGAUGGGCCCGCGGCUUAUCAGCUUGUUGGUGUAGUAGUGGCUUACCAAGGCUUCGGCGAGUAGCCGGCCUGAGGGGGUGACCGGCCACAUUGGGACUGAGAGACGGCACAGCCUCCAACGGGAGGCAGCAGUGGGGGAUAGUGCACAAGGGGGGGCAGGCUAAUGCAGGAACGCGGCGUGCGGGAUGACGGCCUUCGGGUUGUAAACCGCUUUCGCCUGUGACGAUGCGUGAGUGACGGUAAUUACUAAAGAAGCACCGGCUAACUACGUG